rnacentral:rRNA from 1 species
AACGUAGGGGGCCAGCGUUGCUCGGAAUUACUGGGCGUAAAGGGUCCGUAGGCGGUGUGGCAAGUCGGAAGUGAAAUCCACUGGCUUAACCGGUGGCUUGCUUUCGAUACGGGCAGACUGGAGGUAUGCAGGGGAGAACGGAAUUCCUGGUGUAGCGGUGAAAUGCGCAGAUAUCAGGAGGAACACCGGUGGCGAAGGCGGUUCUCUGGGCAUGUCCUGACGCUGAGGAGCGAAAGUGUGGGGAGCGAACAGG